rnacentral:piRNA from 1 species
UGACUAGCUACGCAACUGUUUACAGUUC